rnacentral:rRNA from 1 species
CUUGGUCAUUUAGAGGAAGUAAAAGUCGUAACAAGGUUUCCGUAGGUGAACCUGCGGAAGGAUCAUUCAUAAUAAGUGUUUUAUGGCACUUUUUAAAUCCAUAUCCACCUUGUGUGCAAUGUCAGUCGAUCUUCUUUAUGGAGAUUGGCCAAACAUCAACCAUAUCUUUUAACUCUUUGUCUGAAAAAUAUUAUGAAUAAACAAUUCAAAAUACAACUUUCAACAACGGAUCUCUUGGCUCUCGCAUCGAUGAAGAACGCAGCCCCCAA